rnacentral:rRNA from 1 species
UACGUAGGGUGCAAGCGUUGUCCGGAAUUAUUGGGCGUAAAGAGCUCGUAGGCGGUCUGUUGCGUCGGCUGUGAAAACCCGGGGCUCAACCCCGGGCCUGCAGCCGAUACGGGCAGACUAGAGUUCGGCAGGGGAGACUGGAAUUCCAGGUGUAGCGGUGAAAUGCGUAGAUAUCUGGAGGAACACCGGUGGCGAAGGCGGCAUCCUGGACCGAGAUUGACGCUGAGGCGCGAAAGCCAGGGGAGCAAACGGG